rnacentral:rRNA from 1 species
UGCGUAGGCGGGUCUUUAAGUCAGGGGUGAAAUCCUGGAGCUCAACUCCAGAACUGCCUUUGAUACUGAGGAUCUUGAGUUCGGGAGAGGUGAGUGGAACUGCGAGUGUAGAGGUGAAAUUCGUAGAUAUUCGCAAGAACACCAGUGGCGAAGGCGGCUCACUGGCCCGAUACUGACGCUGAGGCACGAAAGCGUGGGGAGGCAAACA